GACGAACGCUGGCGGCGUGCUUAACACAUGCAAGUCGAACGGAAAGGCCCUGCUUUUGUGGGGUGCUCGAGUGGCGAACGGGUGAGUAACACGUGAGUAACCUGCCCUUGACUUUGGGAUAACUUCAGGAAACUGGGGCUAAUACCGGAUAGGAGCUCCUGCUGCAUGGUGGGGGUUGGAGAGUUUCGGCGGUUGGGGAUGGACUCGCGGCUUAUCAGCUUGUUGGUGGGGUAGUGGCUUACCAAGGCUUUGACGGGUAGCCGGCCUGAGAGGGUGACCGGCCACAUUGGGACUGAGAUACGGCCCAGACUCCUACGGGAGGCAGCAGUGGGGAAUAUUGCACAAUGGGCGGAAGCCUGAUGCAGCAACGCCGCGUGCGGGAUGACGGCCUUCGGGUUGUAAACCGCUUUCGCCUGUGACGAAGCGUGAGUGACGGUAAUGGGUAAAGAAGCACCGGCUAACUACGUGCCAGCAGCCGCGGUGAUACGUAGGGUGCGAGCGUUGUCCGGAUUUAUUGGGCGUAAAGGGCUCGUAGGUGGUUGAUCGCGUCGGAAGUGUAAUCUCGGGGCUUAACCCUGAGCGUGCUUUCGAUACGGGUUGACUUGAGGAAGGUAGGGGAGAAUGGAAUUCCUGGUGGAGCGGUGGAAUGCGCAGAUAUCAGGAGGAACACCAGUGGCGAAGGCGGUUCUCUGGGCCUUUCCUGACGCUGAGGAGCGAGAGCGUGGGGAGCGAACAGGCUUAGAUACCCUGGUAGUCCACGCUGUAAACGGUGGGUACUAGGUGUGGGGUCCAUUCCACGGGUUCCGUGCCGUAGCUAACGCUUUAAGUACCCCGCCUGGGGAGUACGGCCGCAAGGCUAAAACUCAAAGGAAUUGACGGGGCCCCGCACAAGCGGCGGAGCAUGCGGAUUAAUUCGAUGCAACGCGUAGAACCUUACCUGGGUUUGACAUGGAUCGGGAGUGCUCAGAGAUGGGUGUGCCUCUUUUGGGGUCGGUUCACAGGUGGUGCAUGCCUGUCGUCAGCUCGUGUCGUGAGAUGUUGGGUUAAGUCCCGCAACGAGCGCAACCCUUGUUCACUGUUGCCAGCACGUUAUGGUGGGGACUCAGUGGAGACCGCCGGGGUCAACUCGGAGGAAGGUGGGGAUGACGUCAAGUCCUCAUGCCCCUUAUGUCCAGGGCUUCACGCAUGCUACAAUGGCUGGUACAGAGAGUGGCGAGCCUGUGAGGGUGAGCGAAUCUCGGAAAGCCGGUCUCAGUUCGGAUUGGGGUCUGCAACUCGACCUCAUGAAGUCGGAGUCGCUAGUAAUCGCAGAUCAGCAACGCUGCGGUGAAUACGUUCCCGGGGCU
rnacentral:rRNA from 1 species